rnacentral:tRNA from 1 species
GGGCCUGUAGAUCAGUGGAAGAUCACGACCUGUUUUGAUUGGUAUUCAAGAGGUCACGGGUUCAAUUCCCGUCAGGUCCA